UUAAGUAGGUAUCGACCAAUUAGUGUUAUUUUCUAAUUGUACGAUAUUUACUUAUCA
rnacentral:precursor_RNA from 1 species